GGAGGUUCUCGGAUGACACACCUCAGAAUCAGGCUCCAUUCUCUCUGGUUCCAGGUGCAUCACCCAAGAACCGCC
rfam:Myotis davidii contig185982, whole genome shotgun sequence.